rnacentral:rRNA from 1 species
GAUGAACGCUGGCGGCGUGCUUAACACAUGCAAGUCGAACGAUGAAGCCCAGCUUGCUGGGUGGAUUAGUGGCGAACGGGUGAGUAACACGUGAGUAACCUGCCCUUAACUCUGGGAUAAGCCUGGGAAACUAGGUCUAAUACCGGAUAGGAGCGCCUACCGCAUGGUGGGUGUUGGAAAGAUUUAUCGGUUUUGGAUGGACUCGCGGCCUAUCAGCUUGUUGGUGAGGUAAUGGCUCACCAAGGCGACGACGGGUAGCCGGCCUGAGAGGGUGACCGGCCACACUGGGACUGAGACACGGCCCAGACUCCUACGGGAGGCAGCAGUGGGGAAUAUUGCACAAUGGGCGAAAGCCUGAUGCAGCGACGCCGCGUGAGGGAUGACGGCCUUCGGGUUGUAAACCUCUUUCAGUAGGGAAGAAGCGAAAGUGACGUACCUGCAGAA